rnacentral:rRNA from 1 species
CAGCAGCCACGGGAAUACGAAGGGGGCUAGCGUUGCUCGGAAUUACUGGGCGUAAAGCGCACGCAGGCGGUCUGUCAAGUCAGAUGUGAAAUCCCCGGGCUUAACCUGGGAACUGCAUUUGAAACUGGCAGGCUAGAGUCUUGUAGAGGGGGGUAGAAUUCCAGGUGUAGCGGUGAAAUGCGUAGAGAUCUGGAGGAAUACCGGUGGCGAAGGCGGCCCCCUGGACAAAGACUGACGCUCAGGUGCGAAAGCGUGGGGAGCAAACAGGAUUAGAUACCCCUGUAGUCCCUGUCUCUUAUAC